rnacentral:lncRNA from 1 species
UCUUAGACCUGCAUCAUUUCGGGCUUUCCUCCAAAAUUAAGCUGACACGCCACGAUAUAACUGGAAUACUGUUAAAAGCGGCGUUAAACCCAACUCACUCACUCACUCACUUGGAAGUCGGCCGGUGUAACAAGAAUUUUGCCCAGUCGGUGAUUGGGACUUCUCAUGUGCUAUUGUAUGAAACACAAAACAAACACUGUCAUAAUUGAAUUCGUUAAAACAAUGUGUUACCAUAGAGAUGAUAUUUUCCAGAAGCGAUUGGAAUUACUAAUGCUUGGAAUGAUUUAACAAUUUUUCCGGAUUUUUAGCGAUUGUUUCAUAAUAACACCCGGAUCACCACAACAUAUUCGGUAUCUAAUAGGGAUGGGUAUUGAAGGUUUAGAGUGCAUCACAAUAUUUUGCAAUGCACAAGGCCGUAUUGCGAUACGCAUCAAGAAAUAUCGUGUAAUUCUAAAUUUUGAAUUGAGAAAAAUCUGAAACAUCAAUGUAUGGAUGGAAAUUCACAAGCAGAACACAAAAGGAUGGUGGUACAACACAAUGUUUACACAUUAAAUAAACAUGCAGCCAUCUUGGGCCCUGGACACAGGCUUCGGGGCAGCGAAGGUAUUUGGCAAGUGUAUAACAUGAGACUCCUGAUAAAGGUCGCUAUUACAAAUCACCCGAUAUACUGACCAUGACCAAAAUAUAUUGUGAUACGUAUCCAGGAAAAAUAUGAACCUCAAUUUACCGAUACACCGGUAAUACCGCGCACCCUAAGUGUCCAAUAUCAUCUACAGUCAUUGCUACAGGUAGGAAUAUAAUCGAAUAAUGAUUAAAAUCGUGAAAUUUCAUAAGGUACAAAUUCGCUUUUUGGGGGUACGAGUCAUCCAGUUGAUUAGGUACGAGUUGUCCAACAUUUGUGUACGAGUCAUCCAGUUGAUUAGGUACGAGUUGUCCCACAUUUGUGUACGAGUCAUCCAGUUGAUUAGGUACGAGUUGUCCGACAUUUGUGUACGAGUCAUCCAGUUGAUUAGGUACGAGUUGUCCCACAUUUGUGUACGAGUCAUCCAGUUGAUUAGGUACGAGUUGUCCAACAUUUGUGUACGAGUCAUCCAGUUGAUUAGGUACGAGUUGUCCAACAUUUGUGUACGAGUCAUCCAGUUGAUUAGGUACGAGUUGUCCAACAUUUGUGUACGAGUCAUCCCGUUGAUUAGGUACGAGUGGGUACGAGUUGUCCAACAUUUGUGUACGAGUCAUCCAGUUGAUUAGGUACGAGUGGGUACGAGUUGUCCAACAUUUGUGUACGAGUCAUCCAGUUGAUUAGGUACGAGUUGUCCAACAUUUGUGUACGAGUCAUCCAGUUGAUUAGGUACAAGUGGGUACGAGUUGUCCAACAUUUGUGUACGAGUCAUCCAGUUGAUUAGGUACGAGUGGGUACGAGUUGUCCAACAUUUGUGUACGAGUCAUCCAGUUGAUUAGGUACAAGUGGGUACGAGUUGUCCAACAUUUGUGUACGAGUCAUCCAGUUGAUUAGGCACGAGUGGGUACGAGUUGUCCCACAUUUGUGUACGAGUCAUCCAGUUGAUUAGGUACGAGUUGUCCCACAUUUGUGUACGAGUCAUCCAGUUGAUUAGGUACGAGUUGUCCAACAUUUGUGUACGAGUCAUCCAGUUGAUUAGGUACGAGUUGUCCAACAUUUGUGUACGAGUCAUCCAGUUGAUUAGGUACGAGUGGGUACGAGUUGUCCAACAUUUGUGUACGAGUCAUCCAGUUGAUUAGGUACGAGUUGUCCAACAUUUGUGUACGAGUCAUCCAGUUGAUUAGGUACAAGUGGGUACGAGUUGUCCAACAUUUGUGUACGAGUCAUCCAGUUGAUUAGGUACGAGUGGGUACGAGUUGUCCAACAUUUGUGUACGAGUCAUCCAGUUGAUUAGGUACAAGUGGGUACGAGUUGUCCAACAUUUGUGUACGAGUCAUCCAGUUGAUUAGGUACAAGUGGGUACGAGUUGUCCAACAUUUGUGUACGAGUCAUCCAGUUGAUUAGGUACAAGUGGGUACGAGUUGUCCAACAUUUGUGUACGAGUCAUCCAGUUGAUUAGGUACAAGUGGGUACGAGUUGUCCAACAUUUGUGUACGAGUCAUCCAGUUGAUUAGGUACGAGUGGGUACGAGUUGUCCCACAUUUGUGUACGAGCCCGCCAAAAGAAAUAUGGGUACCGAUCUCCAUGGAUACGGAAUGACCACGUCCGCGUUAGAUCAUGUAAAUAUUGGGGGAAGACCAACAGUUCACGAAUGUGGUACGGAACGUGGUGACCGGACGUGUGUUUGAAUGUUAUAAUUAUGUGUUAAUGAUCCUUCAUUUAGAGUUGGGUAUUUUUUUAUUACAAUAUUACAUUUAUAUAUAUUAUAUUUUGUAUGUCAUAUACCGGACGUGUGUUGUAAUGUUAUAAUAAUGUGUUAAUGAUCCUUCAUUUAGAGUUGGGUAUUUUUUUUAUUACAAAAUUACAUUUAUGUAUAUUAUAUUUUGUGUGUCAUAUAUUUGUAUGCAGUAUGUGUUAUCAUAUCUCUGGCACGGACGACAAGUCUCUCAAUUGCUUGUUUGGAGUGAGUUUGCUCAUUUUUUAGAAGCCAUUUUAGUAUCAGAUUCAACUGGUAAAAAAAUGUUUUAAUCAACCUAUUGAUAUUAUCAACACUGUGAUGAGUAGUAUGUCAAUAAAACUGUGUUGUUGUCA